rnacentral:sRNA from 1 species
UAUUCUACCCUACGGGGAAGGAUGAGAAGCUUCGACUAAGGUUCGACUCGAGCGUAGCGAGAGAACGUUGCCGCAGGCAACGGCCCGAAGGGCGAGGAGCGAUAGCGACGAGUUAUCCUUCCCCCACUACUG